rnacentral:rRNA from 1 species
AUGUAUGGCAGAGAAAUACUUCCUCCACCAAUUCUGAAAAAGAAGGGAAGAAGAAAGAAAAACAGGAGGCAACAACCAGAAGAGAAAGAAGGCAGGGCAGGGAGAAAAAUGGGUAGAGGAGGGGCUGUUAUCCAUUGCAGCUAUUGUGGUGCUGCAGGCCACAAUAUUGGAGGAUGCACUGAUUUCAAGCUUGGUUUGAGACCAAAGAAAAAGGGCAAGAUAGUUAGAGCCGAGCCACCAGUUUCCUCUGAUUCAGAAAAUGAGGAUCCUGUCCUAACACAGGAGCAAAAUAUGCACACCAUGGGUUUGAGUCAACCAGAACAUACUCCAUAUGAAGCAGAGGUCAUUUCUACAUUGAUUGUUGAGACGCAGUCACGCCAGAGACAAAAUGUGCAGCCAACUGCUUUACCAGAAAAUGCUUUUAUUCAAGAAAAUGUCCAAAUGCAGCCCCCUAUGCAGGAGACAACUUCCACAAUCCAUGGAAAUGUUCAUAGGAAGAGAGAGGUUUUAGCUUUGGCCAAAUUGAAGGCAGCUGCUGAGAGAAGGGAGGUUGCGGAUCAAGCCAAAUUUAAUGCAGCAAUGGCAAAGCUUAGAGAAGAAGAGAACAAAUUAAUGAUAGCAGCUCAGCGGAGAAAGAAAGAGAUGGAAGAAAAGAGGCAAGGUGCUGAAGAGAGGAAAAAAGCAAUACUGGAGGAGAAAAAGUUAGCAGCCGAGGCAAGAAAAAGAGCUGCUGAAGAAAAAAAAGGAAAGCUCAAGAGGACAAAUUUGCACUUGCCGAGGCAAAAAGAGGAGCAAGAAAGGCAGCAGAGAUGGAAAGGAUAUCAGCAGCAAGAGGAGAAAGCAAAGCAAAAGGCCUGUGAGGAGCAGAUGCAAGCAAAAGAAAAAACAUGCGAGACAGAGGUUAAUAGGGUUCAAACUACUCCAGUAAUGGAAGAGGAGGUUAAUAGGCCUCAAUCAUCUACAACAAGGAAAGCCUUUGAGGAGAAAAAAAAGCUAGAUGAUAUGGCAGCAAUGAGGUUAAGAGCUGAUGAGGAGAGAAAAUGCAGUGCAACACCAAAUGCUUGCCGUGAAGCUCCUUCAGCACGCCCAUGCGAAGUCCGGCUCACACGCACCGUCAGGGAGGCCUUCAUUGCGGGCGCGGCUCGGCUCCGGCCGAAGACAUGGUGGCUCUCCGCGGCGCCACACCUGCUGCGGGAAACCCACCCGUGCACGCUGACGGUGGACGAUGGAAUCGCAGGCGCGAGCCACUGUUGGGCUAGCUUUGCCUCCGCCCGCACAGGAAGCGGCGCUCAUGCGCUAGCCGGGGCGGGUGACGGCUGGGACAGCUUCGCCUCCGCCCGCAUAAGAAGGAAGGGGCCGGUGCAGGCUGGGACAACACUGCCUCGGCCCGAAGGACUCCUACUCUUGCCGGGGCCGGGAACAGAGCUACCGGAGGCCGCCGCCGCCGCCGGCGGCGGCGGCGGCCGUGGUUCUAGGGAGAAACUGAAUCGGCCCGCGUCGGCCUGUGCUGAUGUGGCAGGACAUGUAGUCGUGUACGUACGUGGGUCUGCCGCAGGACCGUCGAUGGACCAGUUUCGCAAACGCCUCUUCCUCUCUCGAGAAGGCUCCAGCAGGCCGCCGCCCGCCGCUUAUCCCCACCGCCUCCGCCGCACCGCCUCCACACCACCUCCCAACAGAUCCCUAUAUAAGAAAGAGACCCAACUUCGCCUAUGCAUAAGGACAGGGCACGACCACAGAGGGACGGCUCCAUCGAUCUGCCUCCAGAGGCGUACAUGGGAGGGGCUGCGUCGAGCCGCCGUGUCCAUCUCGCCGCCCAGCGCCUCAUCCCCUCCGGCCGCCCAGAUCCCCUCGCCAUCUUGCAAGUCCAGCCCAACCACGACACGGCCGAUGUCAAGCGGGCCUCACCGUUAUGGCCAUCUUGGCGCCGCUGGGUUCUCCGCGCCGCCGAUGCCUAGGCCGACCCAACGUGCGCCGCCCGCACCCCGCGUGCGACGGCCGGGGGCUCCGACGCCCACGAUAGCGAGCACGCUCCAGCCUGGCUCACCAUGCGCCAUCUUCCCUGACGCCCUGAGGGUGGCCACCCCAGGACCUACCUGGCGGACGAGGUUGGGACGGGUCCAAGCUGAAGGAAGGGCUCGAGCCGAGAGCGCUGCCUCCGUCGGUCUCUGGCUCCCCAGCCGGUCUCCGCUAUCCGGUCCUCGCAGGCCCUCUUCCCCUCCUUCGUUCCUUAACAAAAACAUUAAGUGGUUUAUGGGAGUUGCUGAGUUGGUGGAAGAUUGGGGCAUUUGCAUAUGGUUGGUACUGAGGAGGACUAUGCUGCUGGAGUGGGAAGCAGGAGAGGUGAAGUUGAAGAAAAGGAAAGAGAACACUGAUUCUUCAGGAAAAACUGGAUAUGGAGCUGCAAGAUCUAAAUGA